rnacentral:rRNA from 1 species
AAACGUUGGCAAUACCCGAAGCCGGUGGCCUAACCCGCAAGGGAGGGAGCCGUCGAAGGGUAGGGUUGAUGAGUUGGGUG